UUUGUACUCCCUCUUUCCGGAAAUACUUGUCAUCAAAAUGAAUAAAAGUGGAUGUAUCUAGAUGUAUUUUAGUUCUAGAUAUAUCUUUUUUUAUCUAUUUUGAUGACAAGUAUUUUCGGACGGAGUGAGUAGAAA
rfam:Triticum aestivum genome assembly, contig: Triticum_aestivum_CS42_TGACv1_scaffold_434944_5DL